AGAUCGUUGGGCGCGGCGUAGGCCGACGAACCUGGUCAGGGGGGAAACCCAGCAGCCAUAAGUUGACACCUACGGGUGUGUCCAGCGGUCUGAU
rnacentral:SRP_RNA from 1 species